GACGAACGCUGGCGGCGUGCCUAAUACAUGCAAGUAGGACGCAGUUGCGAACGGGUGAGUAACGCGUAGGUAACUACCUAUUAGAGGGGGAUAACUAUUGGAAACGAUAGCUAAUACCGCAUACUAGUAGAUGGACCUGCGUUGUAUUAGCUAGUAGGUAGGGUAAUGGCCUACCUAGGCAACGAUACAUAGACGAGCUGGGAGGGAGAACGGGCACACUGGGACUGGGACACGGGUCAGACUCCCACGGGAGGCAGCAGUAGGGAAACUUUGGCAAAUGGGGGAAACCUGACUGAGCAACGCCGCGGGAGUGAAGAAGGUUUUCCGAACGGAAAGCUAUGUUGUGAAGGAAGCGGUACUUACCCAGAAAGCGACGGCUAACUACGUGCCAGCCGCCGCGGUAAUAC
rnacentral:rRNA from 1 species